ensembl:lncRNA
CUUUUCACCAAGCUCUUCACUCUUCACAUUUCAUUUUCUCAGCGUUAGUUAUAUUGUGGCAAUAGGCCUCAUUUUGAUUUCAACUACCACAGUGUCUGAAUGUCAGGAAAACUCUACGAUUUCUUCCCAGGACACAAUUUCCUAUCAGAAGUGCAGUAGUUCUUCAGUGAGGAAGUGACCAGUGUGGAAGAUAACGCCACAAACCAUGCAUCUUGGUCUCCUACCAUCACAUGAGAGGAAACCUGGAUGAUUUGUCUAAGCAGCUGCUGAGGAGAGACGUAUCCAGAGCACUGAUAAUUUAUCACAAUGGAUAUCUUUAGAGAAGAAAACUUUUGUCCAACGUUAGUGAUUUAGAACAACCCUGACACAGUUCAUAUACGUAUCCACUGUCCAUUAAUCUUUUUGUUUCAGUUUUUCUGUCAUGUAUACUAUCCAGAGCUGCUGCAAAUUACAGCUAGUAUGUCCAGCAUUUUUUCCCUUGAUUUUUUCUUUUUAUCUUCAUGAUGAUAGUGUGAAGCAAUUUAUAAUGAAAAUAUGUAGCAAAAGAAAAACUUAAAGGACGUUUUUAUGGAACAUGUCAAAAACUUCACAGUUUAACCUGGAUAGCAGUAACCGUGAAGUCAUUGCCAUACCCAUGGCAUAUUUUAGUGGUCUGUCUACAGAAUAGUUAAGGGAAAAGGAUUUUAUUUUAGCUUCCCACUUUUCAAGAAACAGUGGAAAUAAGAAAUAAAAAUCUGAGCUUUGGAGAGUACCAUUAUGAUCACCUCCCUGUAAACAUAACAGCAAUU